rnacentral:misc_RNA from 1 species
GUUCUUGAGCACAUCUCACGUUCGUCAUCCGACCUGGGUAAGAAGUCAGGAUUGACUGGUGCUAUUGCAGUUUUCGAGGGCAGCACUCUGACUGGAUAGAAACCAAGCACUGUGCCUGAAAGAUUCAAGGAAGCCCGUGCACCCUCUUCAUCAGUGAACUCAAUGAAGGCAAAAUGAAGAAUGGAGUUGGGAUCACCACAGAUACGACAGUCAACAACCUCUCCACAGCUAGCAAAGACAGUAGCAAGUAGCUCUUCAGUCACCUGCUGAUCAAUGUCUGAUACAUACACCGUCCUUCGGGUCAUCUCAUCUCGCUUCACCGCAUUCAUCUUAUUAUUCAUCCUCCGUCUCCCUUGACUAAAACCAUUCUUCUUCCUUCGACUAUUAUUCCCUUCGUUGUUGGCAGAAUUAGCUUGCAAUAGAAAGUCGUUAGUAUACCCAAGGCCAGCACCGCUGAAGUAACCAGAAAAGUUUUUGGCUAAUGAAGGAGGGACAAAUUCCUCAGCCAUGGGAUUCAAUUUGGAUAGUAACUCCUCCAGAUCCCUCAUAUCUCUUUUAAAGUUUU